rnacentral:rRNA from 1 species
AGAAUCAACGCUGGCGGCGUGCCUAACACAUGCAAGUCGAACGAGAAAGGGGAGCAAUCCCUGAGUAAAGUGGCGACCGGGUGAGUAACACGUGACUAACCUACCCUCGAGUGUGGAAUAACAUCGGGAAACCGAUGCUAAUACCGCAUAAUAUCGCGAGAUCAAAGGAGCAAUCCGCUUGAGGAGGGGGUCGCGGGCUGAUUAGCUAGUUGGCGGGGUAACGGCCCACCAAGGCGAAGAUCGGUA